AAUAUUUCACAAUGGAGGGAACUCUGAUGCAGCAACGCCGCGUGAGUGAAGAAGGNUUNNGGAUCNUNAAACUCUGUCAUGGGNNNNNAAUAAAUGACGGUGCCCAAUGAGGACGCCCCGGCUAACUACGUGCCAGCAGCCGCGGUAAUACGGAGGGGGCGAGCGUUGUCCGGAAUUACGAUGCGUAAAGGGUACGGAGGCCGCUAUAUAAGUCAGGUGUGAAAUACCAGUGCUUAACACUGGAAUUGCAUUUGAAACUGUGUAGCUUGAGUGCAGGAGAGGAAAGUGGAAUUCCUAGUGUAGCGGUGAAAUGCGUAGAGAUUAGGAGGAACACCAGUGGCGAAGGCGACUUUCUGGACUGUAACUGACGCUGAGGUACGAAAGCGUGGGUAGCGAACA
rnacentral:rRNA from 1 species